GCUGGCGGCAGGCCUAACACAUGCAAGUCGAGCGCUCUCUUCGGAGGGAGCGGCGGACGGGUGAGUAACGCGUGGGAACGUGCCCUUCUCUAUGGAAUAGCCACUGGAAACGGUGAGUAAUACCAUAUACGCCCUUCGGGGGAAAGAUUUAUCGGAGAAGGAUCGGCCCGCGUUAGAUUAGGUAGUUGGUGGGGUAAUGGCCUACCAAGCCUACGAUCUAUAGCUGGUUUUAGAGGAUGAUCAGCCACACUGGGACUGAGACACGGCCCAGACUCCUACGGGAGGCAGCAGUGGGGAAUCUUAGACAAUGGGCGCAAGCCUGAUCUAGCCAUGCCGCGUGAGUGAUGAAGGCCUUAGGGUCGUAAAGCUCUUUCGCCAGAGAUGAUAAUGACAGUAUCUGGUAAAGAAACCCCGGCUAACUCCGUGCCAGCAGCCGCGGUAAUACGGAGGGGGUUAGCGUUGUUCGGAAUUACUGGGCGUAAAGCGCACGUAGGCGGAUUAGAAAGUUGGGGGUGAAAUCCCGGGGCUCAACCUCGGAACGGCCUCCAAAACUCCUAGUCUAAAGUUCGAGAGAGGUGAGUGGAAUUCCAAGUGUAGAGGUGAAAUUCGUAGAUAUU
rnacentral:rRNA from 1 species